rnacentral:rRNA from 1 species
GACGAACGCUGGCGGCGUGCUUAACACAUGCAAGUCGAACGGAAAGGCCCUGCUUUUGUGGGGUGCUCGAGUGGCGAACGGGUGAGUAACACGUGAGUAACCUGCCCUUGACUUUGGGAUAACUUCAGGAAACUGGGGCUAAUACCGGAUAGGAGCUCCUGCUGCAUUGUGGGGGUUGGAAAGUUUCGGCGGUUGGGGAUGGACUCGCGGCUUAUCAGCUUGUUGGUGGGGUAGUGGCUUACCAAGGCUUUGACGGGUAGCCGGCCUGAGAGGGUGACCGGCCACAUUAGGACUGAGAUACGGCCCAGACUCCUACGGGAGGCAGCAGUGGGGAAUAUUGCACAAUGGGCGGAAGCCUGAUGCAGCAACGCCGCGUGCGGGAUGACGGCCUUCGGGUUGUAAACCGCUUUCGCCUGUGACGAAGCGUGAGUGACGGUAAUGGGUAAAGAAGCACCGGCUAACUACGUG